UUUGAGGGGAAUGUUGUCUGGCUCGAGGACCCUUCUAUCUUGAUCAAUAUUUGUGAUCAAAGAUUCUACAGUGUUGUCGGACCAGGCUUCAUUCCCCCCAAU
rfam:Lupinus angustifolius cultivar Tanjil chromosome LG09, whole genome shotgun sequence.